UUUCCCCUCUGGUAACCCGCGGAGAAGCGAAACCUAACGAGCCAAAGCCUGGGCGCUGCGAUACUAGCUGGCGUGCGUAACGUUGACGCAGGCGACGCUAGCGGGACUAGAGGGCGCGUGCGCGGUGUGUCUGUCAAGGGCCCCGGGCUUCCUGCGUUCGGCGGUGGCUGGGCCGGGGAGGUGGGUGCCGGUUCCCGGUGCUGCGGGGGCGUGUCCGGGCAAACUUUCUGGCCUACCGGUGCGCCACCUCUCUCCCUCGCGGCUUGGGGCGUAGUGGACCCAAAGGAACGACUACCCCGGGAAGCAGCCCCCAACCCCGGGAGCGGAAGUGGAGGACGGCCCCCGAAAGCGAGUGAAGCGCUACUUCUCCAGACAGUGGGGCCCCAGGUGGGCGUGAGCGAAGGAUUUUAGUUACUGUGGAAAUGCCUCUGUUUUGCCUUCUUCCAGAAAUUUGUCUAAGUUCAACUGCUUCUGCUGGUGGGGAAAAAAUGAUCUAAGGGACGGGGUCUCCCCCAUGCUGGAGUAUAG